rnacentral:rRNA from 1 species
CCUACGGGAGGCAGCAGUGGGGAAUAUUGCGCAAUGGGCGAAAGCCUGACGCAGCGACGCCGCGUGAGGGAUGAAGGUCUUCGGAUCGUAAACCUCUGUCAGCAGGGAAGAACGGUCACUGUGCUAAUCAGCAGUGCAUUGACGGGACCUGCAAAGGAAGCACCGGCUAACUCCGUGCCAGCAGCCGCGGUAAUACGGAGGGUGCGAGCGUUAAUCGGAAUUACUGGGCGUAAAGCGCUCGUAGGCGGUAUGUCAAGUCAAGGGUGAAAUCCCCGCGCUCAACGUGGGAACUGCCUUUGAAACUGGCAAACUGGAGUGUGUGAGAGGAUAGUGGAAUGCCAGGUGUAGGAGUGAAAUCCGUAGAUAUCUGGAGGAACAUCAGUGGCGAAGGCGACUAUCUGGCACAUAACUGACGCUGAGGAGCGAAAGCGUGGGGAGCAAACAGGAUUAGAUACCCUUGUAGUC